rnacentral:rRNA from 1 species
UACGUAGGGGGCAAGCGUUGUCCGGAGUUACUGGGCGUAAAGCGCACGCAGGCGGUCUCUUAAGUUUGGAGCGACAGUUGGUGGCUUAACUGCCAAAGUGCUUCGAAAACUGAGAGACUUGAGGGCUUCAGAGGGACACGGAAUUCCGGGUGGAGUGGUGAAAUGCGUAGAGAUCCGGAGGAACACCAAAGGCGAAGGCAGUGUCCUGGGGAGUACCUGACGCUCAGGUGCGAAAGCCAGGGGAGCGAACGGG